CCUCCACCCCAGUGGCUUCCUCCUCCUCCAGCUGCAGCAGAGUGUCUGUCUCUCCUUCCUACCAGGGGUCGAAGGCUGCAUCUCAAUUUGCAGCCUUUGUGUCUGGGCAGCUUUCUGUCUGCGGUGGAAAUGCAGGCAAAACUAAAAAAGAUGGUGGCCCCUAAGCCUGCAUUUCCACCCUCCUUCAGACCAGCUCGUCCACCCACAGCAUCUGGGGAGCCCAGUGAUGGAGAGCUGGUCCAGGCGGUAGUUGACCAAGGGCAACAUGAACUGGAAGUGUCACUUCUGGAGUACAGGCACCUCUCCUGCUCCCUCCUUCUCCUUCUCCGCCGCCUCCUGUGACAACAAAAAAACCAUCUGCGAGACGGGAGGAACCCACAGACAAGGAACUCCUGAAGGCCACGCAAGACUCUCCAGACCUCCUUGCUGCAGUCCUCCCUCCCCCACCUCCUGCUGCCAGUUCUAAGGGUCUGCAUCCUACGUCGGCCAGAUUCGUCGGCCGGUUACGUCACAGCGCCGCGACUAGGCCUGUCCCAAUUCGAAGACUCAUUCAAAUGCGGUCGACGAAUCCGGCCUUCUUUUCGCCUGAAUGAAGGAUGGGUCCGGUGUAUCCUGCAAUAGGUAGCAUUUCCCAAGGUGCCUUGCGGGCCGGCCGGCAGAAAAGCUUUUACAAACAAUGGCGGACAGUGAAGCGGGAGCUGUUGGAGAGGAUUGCGCGUAUAAAUGGACUAAAGACAAAACCAGGGAAUUCAUUAAGCUUCGAGCGGAGAUGGACCACAUGUUUACCGGAGCUAAGCAUUCGGCGUCUGUGGCAUGGAGGAGUAUUCUGGAGAAAACGUCCAUCCAGGGGAAGGUGACCCCCAUCCAGGCAAAAAAAAAGGGAUAAUUUAAAGAAAAAAUUUAAAGUAUGUAGAUGUGUGUGGAAAAAUAUAACAUGAAUACAUGCUAAAUCUAAAAAAUUUAAACAGGUUUGUUGGUAUUUGUGUAAAAUGACAUAAUUUUAUUUUUUUUUUUACCUAGGAUUGCAAGUAUCCAGGGUCAGGAGAGGGGGUUAGUGGGAAGCCCACUGCUGCUACUUGGCCCUGGUUUGACCUCAUGGAUGAGUUAUUAGGACAGAGACCCUCAAUCAGUCCGCCUGUCCUAAUUGCCUCUAUCCGUGAGGACACUCCAGGGCCAAGUACAGCAGUGGAUGAAAGGGAGGAGAGUGAGGAUGAAGAUGGUCAGCCAGGAAGAAGUCAGCAGGGUGCAAGAAAAAGGAGAAGGUGACAGCGAUGACCAGCUUCUGGAGCUCAUCAGGGAGGACAUGAGGCUGCAGAGGGAGGCAGAGCAGCAGAGGGCACAGGAGAGAAGGGAGACUUUUGGGAAGCUUUUUAGUUUGCUUGAAAAAAUGAUAAAUAAAGAUUAACCAUAUCUAAUAAAUGAUAUAAUCAACUAAAUAAAAUCAGUUCUUUAUUAAACUGUUGAAGUUUAUUUUUGUUUACAAAUGUGAAUUGUUUAAUAU